CAGCAGCCACGGGAAUACGUAGGUGGCAAGCGUUGUCCGGAAUUAUUGGGCGUAAAGGGUGCGUAGGCGGCUUGGUAAGUUAGAGGUGAAAUCCCAAGGCUCAACCUUGGAACUGCCUUUGAUACUGGAAGUCUUGAGUCCGGGAGAGGUGAGUGGAACUGCGAGUGUAGAGGUGAAAUUCGUAGAUAUUCGCAAGAACACCAGUGGCGAAGGCGGCUCACUGGCCCGGUACUGACGCUGAGGAGCGAAAGCGUGGGGAGCGAACAGGAUUAGAUACCCGGGUAGUCCCUGUCUCUUAUAC
rnacentral:rRNA from 1 species